ACUGGCCCGCAGGCCCCCCUUCCAGCGCCAGGGCACGCUGGAGCAGCUGCAGUUCAUCCCCGGCCAUCACCUGCCCCAACACCUCCGCACGGCCAGCAAAAACGAGGUGACUGUCUGAGUGUCCAAGGCCGGGCUGGGGGCUGGGGCGCUGUGGCCUGCGGCCCCCAUCCCAGCCUGCACCCCCUGCCACACCCGGCUGGCGGGCCUGGAAUCCAGACCUGCGGGGGCCAGGAGGGCUACCUCCAAGGACAUGGUUUUGGACGAAAUACUCACGAGAGAAAAAGUUUCCUUCUGCAAUGUCAUGGCAGAUAAGAUCCUCAUCCUGACACAGUCUGAAGCAGGGCCUCCUUCCCAUGACGUCAUCACAGAGGAAGAGGCCUGUAUGUGAGGUCAUCAGUAGCAAAAAACGUCUGUGUUCAUCACAGGGACAAACCCUGCUUCCCAUGAGGUCAUCGAAGAGGAACAGGCCCACUACAGUCAUCGCUGGAGGCCGUGUCUGUGCUCCACAGUGUCAUCACGAAGACCUCCCUCCAGUGACGUCGUAAGAGGAGCAAUGCCUUGUCCCAUGACAUCGUCCCGAGAGACAAGGAGCCCUCCUGUGACGUCACUACACAGAUAAGUCUCACCCUCUGAUGUUGUCUCUGGCACCAAAGGCCUCUGUGGACCUCCUCGUCACCAGGAAAAUAUUUUCUUCCAAAGAAGAUGCCUCUGUCUAUGAAGCCGUGCCUGCGGACAAAGCCAUCUUCCCGGGACGUGCCACAGGGAAAAAAGCCUUGCAUCCUCACGAGACACAAGGCCUCCUUUCUAGGACGUCACCACGGGGGCUCUGCUUCCUUCCUGUGACACCAUCGCCAGAGGAGCUGGCUUGCCCUGUGAUGUCAUCCCCGAAGACGGGCAGCCCGCUUGGGACUUCUCCGGGGUGAGGCCCUUCUGCACCACAGCACCAGACUCUGCCUGUGCAGAGAUUAUGUCCCCGUGAGACACGUCCACUGCGAUGGCCCAGCAUCCACAAGGUGGGCCGCCCAGAGCCCAUGACUAACCUGGGGGCCGCCAAGGAAGGGACCGGUCCUGAGAUGCUACCCCGGGUGUCAUUGCUGGGGCGGCUGCCCUGUGGGGAAGCUGCGGCCAGAGGUGACAGCCUGCCCCUGGGGCCCCGGAGCUGUGACGUCACCACCGGAGACACUGCCUGCUCUGGAAGGCCAUUCCUUGUG
rnacentral:lncRNA from 1 species